rnacentral:rRNA from 1 species
AUGAAUCAACAUCCAACCCGAGUAACUCUGCAGGACUUCAUGCGCCUCAACCCAUCUAUCUACCGCAGCUCAACUCAACCCCUUGAUGCUGAUGACUGGCUCCGCGACAUCACAUAUGAAAUGGAGUCUGCUAGUGUUGCCCCUGCCAGCUAUGUCACCUUCGCAUCUUUCUUUCUGAAGGGUCCUGCUGCUCAAUGGUGGGACAGCCACAGGCGUACCCUACCUGCUGGAACGGUCAUUACUUGGCCGGAUUUCCAAGCUGCCUUCCGUGCCCGUUUCAUUCCUCAGGGAACCAUGGACAGGAAGAAGCGAGAGUUCCGCAACCUCACCCAAGGCAACAAGACUGUAGAUGCUUAUCAACGGGAAUUUCUGGACUUGUCACGUUAUGCUGAAGAAGACAUUGCAACUGAUGCUCGUAAGCAAGAGAAGUUUCGUGAUGGACUUCACCCUGAUAUUAAGCUAGCAUUGCUCGUUCAUGACUUUGCCGACUUCGCC